CCAUAUGUCAGUCUACCAGGAGAACAGAGGUCAGAAGAUGAGGAGAGCAUGUCAUCCCUGCAAGAAUGUACCUCCACAUCACAUGUCCAAAGCCAGGCAGCGUCUUCAACAGAUGUCAGUAUGCCAGAACAACAGUGGUCAGAAGAUGAGGUCAGCAUGUCAUCCCUGCAAGGAUGUACCUCCACAUCACAAGUCCAAAAAAAGAGUGUGUCCGCAAGAAAGAGAGGUAAGCAAGCUGCUGUACAGCGUUGGACAACAGAGGAGAUUGCUGCAGUAGAAAAACAUCUGAAGAAGUUCAUUGUGAGGCAAGAUGAUCCAGGUAAAGCGACUUGUGAGCGCUGCAUUUCUGCAGAACCGCAAGCGCUGCAAAAAAGAGACUGGAAAGCAGUCAAGUAUUUCAUCAAAAAUAGAAUAACUGCCAUGAGAAGAAAAUUGUAAUGAAAGCAGUUCACUGAUCAGGAGUAUGGAGACAUGUUUUCAGUUUGCCCUCUAACACUUUUUUGUUCAAGGUUUGUUUUGUUGUAUUGUUUCCACCUGUCUCUAUAACGCAUUAUAAAUAUAUUUAUAAUGACCUUAUAGCACUGUACACAUAUAGUUAUAAACACUCAUCAAUUAUUAUAAUGCUUU